AUUAUAGAUAGUGCUUCGUCGAAAGUAAAGUUUAAAUUAAUUAAUAACAGAGAUUAAUACUUUUUGGCCUACAUUCACCUUCAUUGAAAAGCUUUUCAAAACAAGAGGAAAGGGAAAGAACAAAGAACCAAAAUAUUGAAAAUGGCUAGUGUCAGUUCCAAAUUUAACACUUCGAUUUGUUCUCCCCAUAGAACAGGAUUCAGACAGUGACAGUACAAUCACUGAGCUGAUGAAAAAGGUUCAGUUUCAUAAGCCUGGUGAAAAUUUCAAAACUGAUGGCUAUGUCAUCCACGACAAGACUACGGAUUUACUGAAACAACAUUUAAAAGAAACUGACGGCCAAAGUAGCAAUAGAGAAUCAGAAAACAGGAAUGUAGACGAAGAAUUUGAAGAUUUGUAGGAUGAAGAAUACUAAAACAUUUCUAUAAUGAAAUAAAAUAAACAGGCAGAUAAAUAUAAUUGUGAAUGCAAAAAUUAGUCAUUUCCUUAUUAAAGAAGGGAUCAACAAAUAAUUAAUAAAAAACUUUGUUGACAUUGCAAUGAAGUGUCAAAUGGAUUUACUGAAGGCGGGAUAUCCCUAAUGAACCAAAAAAUAGAAUGGAA